AUUGAACGCUGGCGGCAGGCCUAACACAUGCAAGUCGAGCGAGCGGCGGACGGGUGAUUAAUGUCUGGGAAACUGCCUGAUGGAGGGGGAUAACUACUGGAAACGGUAGCUAAUACCGCAUACAAUCAGAUGUGCCCAGAUGGGAUUAGCUGGUAGGUGGGGUAACGGCUCACCUAGGCGACGAUCCCUAGCUGGUCUGAGAGGAUGACCAGCCACACGGGAGAUGCGACACGGUCCAGACUCCUACGAGAGGCAGCAGUGGAGAAUAUGGCACAAUGGGCGAAGUCCUGAUGCAGCCAAGCCGCGUGUGUGAAGAGGGCCUUCGGGUUGUAAAGCACGUUCAGCGGGGAGGCGUUACCCGCAGAGGAAGCACCGGCUAACGCCGAGCCAGCAGCCGCGGUAAUUC
rnacentral:rRNA from 1 species